rnacentral:rRNA from 1 species
GGGUUGUGAGGUUAAGCGACUAAGCGUACACGGUGGAUGCCCUGGCAGUCAGAGGCGAUGAAGGGCGUGCUAAUCUGCGAUAAGCGCCGGUAAGGUGAUAUGAACCGUUAUAACCGGCGAUACCCGAAUGGGGAAACCCAGUGUGACUCGUCACACUAUCAUUAACUGAAUCCAUAGGUUAAUGAGGCGAACCGGGGGAACUGAAACAUCUAAGUACCCCGAGGAAAAGAAAUCAACCGAGAUUCCCCCAGUAGCGGCGAGCGAACGGGGAGGAGCCCAGAGCCUGAAUCAGCAUGUGUGUUAGUGGAAGCGUCUGGAAAGGCGCGCGAUACAGGGUGACAGCCCCGUACACAAAAGCGCAUGUGCUGUGAGCUCGAUGAGUAGGGCGGGACACGUGGUAUCCUGUCUGAAUAUGGGGGGACCAUCCUCCAAGGCUAAAUACUCCUGACUGACCGAUAGUGAACCAGUACCGUGAGGGAAAGGCGAAAAGAACCCCGGCGAGGGGAGUGAAAAAGAACCUGAAACCGUGUACGUACAAGCAGUGGGAGCCCCACCACUAAGCCAGUGGUGAACUCCACAUACGCAUCCUUUGCUGAGGAUACGGUUAACGGAGCGAAAGCGACGUUCAACCUCAAAAGAAGCAGAGGGGGCUUAGUGGUGGGGUGACUGCGUACCUUUUGUAUAAUGGGUCAGCGACUUAUAUUCUGUAGCAAGGUUAACCGUAUAGGGGAGCCGUAGGGAAACCGAGUCUUAACCGGGCGUUAAGUUGCAGGGUAUAGACCCGAAACCCGGUGAUCUAGCCAUGGGCAGGUUGAAGGUUGGGUAACACUAACUGGAGGACCGAACCGACUAAUGUUGAAAAAUUAGCGGAUGACCUGUGGCUGGGGGUGAAAGGCCAAUCAAACCGGGAGAUAGCUGGUUCUCCCCGAAAGCUAUUUAGGUAGCGCCUCGUGAACUCAUCUCCGGGGGUAGAGCACUGUUUCGGCUAGGGGGCCAUCCCGGCUUACCAACCCGAUGCAAACUGCGAAUACCGGAGAAUGUUAUCACGGGAGACACACGGCGGGUGCUAACGUCCGUCGUGAAGAGGGAAACAACCCAGACCGCCAGCUAAGGUCCCAAAGUCAUGGUUAAGUGGGAAACGAUGUGGGAAGGCCCAGACAGCCAGGAUGUUGGCUUAGAAGCAGCCAUCAUUUAAAGAAAGCGUAAUAGCUCACUGGUCGAGUCGGCCUGCGCGGAAGAUGUAACGGGGCUAAACCAUGCACCGAAGCUGCGGCAGCGAACGUAUCACCCAAGACAACUUUACGGAGUUGACGAUUGACGGAGCGAAGCGACGUCAAAGCGUUCAUUAAAGUCGAGUUGGCUUAGGGAUACGUUCGUUGGGUAGGGGAGCGUUCUGUAAGCCUGUGAAGGUGGCCUGUGAGGGUUGCUGGAGGUAUCAGAAGUGCGAAUGCUGACAUAAGUAACGAUAAAGCGGGUGAAAAGCCCGCUCGCCGGAAGACCAAGGGUUCCUGUCCAACGUUAAUCGGGGCAGG